AAACUUUCAACAACGGAUCUCUUGGUUCUCGCAUCGAUGAAGAACGCAGCGAAUUGCGAUAAGUAAUGUGAAUUGCAGAAUUGUGAAUCAUCGAAUUUUUGAACGCACAUUGCACCCUCUGGUAUUCCGGGGGGUAUUCCUGUUUGAGCGUCAGU
rnacentral:rRNA from 1 species